GAUGCUUGCAUNAGAUGACGAGUGGCGCACGGGUGAGUAACGCGUAUACAAUCUACCUUUUACAGGGGGAUAGCCUUUAGAAAUGAAGAUUAAUAUCCCAUAGUAAGUAGUUUUGGCAUCAAGACAACUUUAAAGUUUCGGCGGUAAAAGAUGAGUAUGCGUUCUAUUAGUUAGUUGGUAAGGUAACGGCUUACCAAGACCACGAUAGAUAGGGGCCCUGAGAGGGGGAUCCCCCACACUGGUACUGAGACACGGACCAGACUCCUACGGGAGGCAGCAGUGAGGAAUAUUGGACAAUGGGCGCGAGCCUGAUCCAGCCAUGCCGCGUGCAGGAAGACUGCCCUAUGGGUUGUAAACUGCUUUUAUACAGGAAGAAACCUUUUCACGUGUGAAAAGCUGACGGUACUGUAAGAAUAAGGAUCGGCUAACUCCGUGCCAGCAGCCGCGGUAAUACGGAGGAUCCAAGCGUUAUCCGGAAUCAUUGGGUUUAAAGGGUCCGUAGGUGGAUAAUUAAGUCAGGGGUGAAAGUUUGCAGCUCAACUGUAAAAUUGCCUUUGAUACUGGUUAUCUUGAAUUAUUGUGAAGUGGUUAGAAUAUGUAGUGUAGCGGUGAAAUGCAUAGAUAUUACAUAGAAUACCAAUUGCGAAGGCAGAUCACUAACAAUAUAUUGACACUGAUGGACGAAAGCGUGGGGAGCGAACAGGAUUAGAUACCCUGGUAGUCCACGCCGUAAACGAUGGAUACUAGCUGUUCGGUUUUCGGA
rnacentral:rRNA from 2 species